AAUAGAUACCCCGGUAGUCCUUGCCGUGAACGAUGCACACUUGGUGUAGUUGGACUCAACCCCGACUGUGCCGUAGCUAACGCGUUAAGUAUGCCACCUGGGGAGUACGCCCGCAAGGGUGAAACUCAAAAGAAUUGACGGGGGCCCGCACAAGCAGUGGAGCAUGUGGUUUAAUUCGAUGCAACGCGAAGAACCUUACCCAGGCUUGACAUAUAGAGGACCGCACUAGAGAUAGUGCUUCCCGCAAGGGCCUUUAUACAGGUGCUGCAUGGCUGUCGUCAGCUCGUGCCGUGAGGUGUUGGGUUAAGUCCCGCAACGAGCGCAACCCUUGUCGUUAGUUACCAACACGUAAUGGUGGGGACUCUAACGAGACUGCCUAGGUUAACUAGGAGGAAGGUGAGGAUGACGUCAAGUCCGCAUGGCCCUUAUGUCUGGGGCUACACACGUGCUACAAUGGUCGGUACAGAAGGCAGCAAAGCCGAAAGGUGAAGCAAAUCCCCAAAACCGAUCCCAGUUCGGAUAGAAGUCUGCAACUCGUAC
rnacentral:rRNA from 1 species